rnacentral:pre_miRNA from 1 species
AAUAGAAUUGCUGGGUCAUAUGGUAACUCUGUUUAACUUUUUGAGGAACUGCCAAACUGUUUUACACAGUGACUGUACCAUUUGCAUUCCAAUCAGCAGG